rnacentral:misc_RNA from 1 species
AAGUCGUAACAAGGUUUCCGUAGGUGAACCUGCGGAAGGAUCAUUAACACGUAUCCAACGUUAAACCCCCCUGUGAACCUUUAGUGUGCUCCCUCAUUCUGUUGGAACGUGGCAAUCCCUGGUAAAUCAUCGCCGAACAGUUUUGAUUCAGGGACUUCUGCAAAGAGUGCUGGUUGUAGCGCGAGGCAAGUGGCCUGGCAUUCCUCUGCUUGUUAGUGUCUGAAAGUGUCACUGGCUCUGUAAGAAUGGCGCAGUCACGCCCCCCUAUCACCCCUUUGCAUGAAAACGGGCCUGCGCUUAAUUGUGCGGCCAUAAACCGAACAACUGUUAACAAUGGAUAUCUUGGUUCUC